ACGUUAUUGGGCGACAAACUUUCAGCCCGGAGGUUUCUUGAGAAAAGGGAAAGCCUGAGUUCUUAAAACAAAUCUGCACUGUAACUAGAAUUAUUUUCAUCAAGUGUUAACAGAACACUUUGAACUCUUUCAAAAUUGAUUAAAAUUCAUGUUAUUAGGCAUCUUGGGUAUGAAUGUAAGUAUUAUUUGAUUCGGUAUUCUUCUUUUUAUGUAAAAUAGUUGACGUAUAUAUUUGUUUAUUUAUUUAUUUAUUUGUUGAUGACAUUUUUGGGUUUAAAUUACUUGCAGUCGCUCGAUUGUACUCCGGCUACCAACAGCUUGAUUCGCUCCGAAGCAGAUUCUCAAAGAACCCUGUAUGGUUCUUCUUCCUUUCUACGUACAAAAAUAUACUUAUUAAGAUCUGAUAGUUUGAUUAUAACGGAAUUAGAAGGGACUAGGGUUUUAGCGGAUCGAUUUUCAAAUUUGGUUAAGUUAGGUCU
rnacentral:lncRNA from 1 species